rnacentral:snoRNA from 1 species
GCAGUCUGAAAAUCACUUAGGGUCUCCUGUGGCCCCCGGUGAGAUAACUGUGCCGACAGUAUAGGGAACAUUAAGCUUAUUGCCUACGGCGAUGCGUGGGCAGUGAAACCCAUGUUCCCAUAACC